GCCCACGUAGUGUAGAGGUCAAGCAUCUCGGGCCUUCACCCCGAUGACCAGGGUUCGAGUCCCUGCGUGGGCA
rnacentral:tRNA from 1 species